AGCUCCAAUAGCGUAUAUUAAAGUUGCUUCGGAUAAAAAGCUCGUAGUUGGAUUUUUGAUGAGGACGAUCGGUCCGCCCUCUGGGUGAGCAUUGACUCGGCCUUGCCAUUUUCUUGGAGAACGCUACUGCACUUGACUGUGUGGUGCGGUAUCCAUGACUUUUACCUUGAGGAAAUUAGAGCGUUUCAAGCAUGCGCACGCCUUGAAUACAUUAGCAUGGAAUGAUAUGAUAGGACCUUGGUUCUAUUUUGUUGGUUUCUAGAGUUGAGGUAAUGAUUAAUAGGGAUAGUUGGGGGCAUUCGUAUUUAACUGUCAAAGACGAAAUUUUUGGAUGUGUUAAAGACGGACUACUGCGAUUGCCAAGGAUGUUUUCA
rnacentral:rRNA from 1 species